AGAAAAGGAAGAAAUUUUGAAAGACACAAAUUAAACUUGUCAUUUCGUCUUUUUGUGAUUCAGCUCCAAAUAGAGAAAACUGGAUGUAUCCAUCUCAGAGAAAGGAGAGCAAAACAAGGUCUGUUGGUAGAAGUCUCAAAUAUUAUGCUUCUCCCCAUUUCUCAUUUCCUCAUUUUUCUGAUCUGGGAGGAGAGCUUCUUUGUCUUGUCAUGAUCAAAGGGAGAGGAGAGUGCCUGAUGUUAUCAGGAUUUUCACGAACUCUUGAAUGUCAGGAAGAAGGAGAGUGAAUAUUACCCUUAGACACAGUGUGUGGAUGUUUCAGCCCUGCUAAGUGAUGGGAGAACCUCAUGGGAUGGAACAGUUCACAUGGUGCUACUCCAAGCUGCUGCUGUUUCCUCCAGUAUUGGUUCAUCCUCACCGUUUCUGUGUUUGCUAGAGGCACGUAGUAGCAAAGGUAGAGAAUGGCGAGAACACAGGGGAGCUUUCAAAAGUUUAGGUCAUGUUACUGCAAGGAUUGCAGCAUCCAGCGGCAGACACAUGACUGGGACAGACGUCUCUUGGAUUCUCAUUCCCUUUCUUCUCACACAAAAAAUAUGUGUUUGCCUUACAACUACCAGAUGA
rnacentral:lncRNA from 1 species